GGGCGAAUAGCUCAGCUGGAAGAGCGCUUCCCUUACAAGGAAGAGGUCAGAGGUUCGAGCCCUCUUUCGCCCACCA
rnacentral:tRNA from 3 species